AUCAGCUUUCUUUGUAGCAGCCAACUUGGUAGGCUCAUAUAUCAUUUUAGAUCCCAAUGUAGGGCUAACAUACCAAAACUUCUUCUUCUUUUUGUGGAGCAUCUUCUUUAGCAGGUUCCUGGAACCGCCCAGAGCAGCGGAGCUGCGCAGGGAACGGCACCACGGCAGAGCCGCGCUCGCCGCCGCGCGGGCCCCCCACAUGCUCCCGAACAGCCUCGGCUCAGCGCGGCCCGUGGAG
rnacentral:lncRNA from 1 species